GUAGGGAAUAUUGGGCAAUGGAUGCAAGUCUGACCCAGCCAUGCCGCGUGCCGGAAGAAGGUCCUCAGGAUUGUAAACGGCUUUUAUUCGGGAAGAAGAGCAGGGAUGCGUCCUUGUGUGACGGUACCGAAUGAAUAAGCACCGGCUAACUCCGUGCCAGCAGCCGCGGUAAUACGGAGGGUGCGAGCGUUGUCCGGAUUUAUUGGGUUUAAAGGGUGCGUAGGUUGCCAAGUAAGUCAGUGGUGAAAUACAGCCGCUCAACGGUUGAGGUGCCAUUGAUACUGUUUGGCUUGAAAUAAUUGGAGGCUGCCGGAAUGGAUGGUGUAGCGGUGAAAUGCAUAGAUAUCAUCCAGAACACCGAUUGCGAAGGCAGGUGGCUACGAUUGGUUUGACACUGAGGCACGAAAGCAUGGGGAGCAAACAGGAUUAGAAACCCUAGUAGUCC
rnacentral:rRNA from 1 species